GGCGGCUGCUAUACAUGCAGUCGAACGAGUUCUGAUUAUUGAAGGGUGCUUGCAUCUUGAUUUAAUUUUGAACGAGUGGCGGACGGGUGAGUAACACGUGGGUAACCUGCCCUUAAGUGGGGGAUAACAUUUGGAAACAGAUGCUAAUACCGCAUAAAUCCAAGAACCGCAGGGUUCUUGGCUGAAAGAUGGCGUAAGCUAUCGCUUUUGGAUGGACCCGCGGCGUAUUAGCUAGUUGGUGAGGUAACGGCUCACCAAGGCAAUGAUACGUACCCAAACUGAGAGGUUGAUCGGCCACAUUGGGACUGAGACACGGCCCAAACUCCUACGGGAGGCAGCAGUAGGGAAUCUUCCACAAUGGACGCAAGUCUGAUGGAGCAACGCCGCGUGAGUGAAGAAGGCUUUCGGGUCGUAAAACUCUGUUGUUGGAGAAGAAUGGUCGGCAGAGUAACUGUUGUCGGCGUGACGGUAUCCAACCAGAAAGCCACGGCUAACUACGUGCCAGCAGCCGCGGUAAUACGUAGGUGGCAAGCGUUAUCCGGAUUUAUUGGGCGUAAAGCGAGCGCAGGCGGUUUUUUAAGUCUGAUGUGAAAGCCCUCGGCUUAACCGAGGAAGUGCAUCGGAAACUGGGAAACUUGAGUGCAGAAGAGGACAGUGGAACUCAUGUGUAGCGGUGAAAUGCGUAGAUAUAUGGAAGAACACCAGUGGCCGAAGGCGGCUGUCUGGUCUGUAACUGACGCUGAGGCUUCAAAA
rnacentral:rRNA from 2 species